rnacentral:rRNA from 1 species
UACGUAGGGUGCAAGCGUUGUCCGGAAUUAUUGGGCGUAAAGAGCUCGUAGGCGGUUUGUCACGUCGGAUGUGAAAUCCCGGGGCUUAACCUCGGGUCUGCAUUCGAUACGGGCUGACUAGAGUUCGGUAGGGGAGACUGGAAUUCCUGGUGUAGCGGUGAAAUGCGCAGAUAUCAGGAGGAACACCGGUGGCGAAGGCGGGUCUCUGGGCCGAUACUGACGCUGAGGAGCGAAAGCUGGGGGAGCGAACAGG